GACGAACGCUGGCGGCGUGCCUAAUACAUGCCAGUUGAGCGCUGAAGGUUGGUACUUGUACCAACUGGAUGAGCAGCGAACGGGUGAGUAACGCGUGGGGAAUCUGCCUUUGAGCGGGGGACAACAUUUGGAAACGAAUGCUAAUACCGCAUAAAAACUUUAAACACAAGUUUUAAGUUUGAAAGAUGCAAUUGCAUCACUCAAAGAUGAUCCCGCGUUGUAUUAGCUAGUUGGUGAGGUAAAGGCUCACCAAGGCGAUGAUACAUAGCCGACCUGAUAGGGUGAUCGGACACAUUGGGAAAGAGAAACGGCCCAAACUACUACGGGAGGCAGCAGUAGGGAAUCUUCGGCAAUGGACGAAAGUCUGACCGAGCAACGCCGCGUGAGUGAAGAAGGUUAUAGGAUCGUAAAACUCUGUUGGUAGAGAAGAACGUUGGUGAGAGUGGAAAGCUCAUCAAGUGACGGUAACUACCCAGAAAGGGACGGCUAACUACGUG
rnacentral:rRNA from 1 species